ensembl:lncRNA
CUUGACAAUUUCAGCACAGGCGCCAUUUAUACACAGGCUUCUGUCAUAUCAUUCAUUCAAUCCAUACUGUUGUAAAAGUACAUAAUUAACAAAUGUAUUAGAAAUCAUUUUAGUUAGCAUUGAUCUUAUAAACUGUAAAAUGCAUCGUAUACAUAAGCAAAUCAAUGUCAACAGUCCAAAAACAGGAAUUAAUAUUUUCAAAGGAAGAUGCCACCAAGGACCAGACAUUAACCAAGUUAUCCAGCCUUGUGGUGCAUCUACUCCUGUCGUGCAAUUCAUUAUGUAUUCCUGCAAGUAAACAAUUGAAUGUAACAGUCAAAAAGAAUAAUCAACAUUCCCAAAAAUCAUAUUUCACUACAAUCCAACUGUAUACAGACAUUGACGUUCAAACACAUCAGUUGACUUUAUCGUUUGUCCAUGUGGCUCUCAGCUAACUUCAAAGCUGUAGCCUGGUUAACACCCUUCUUUAUGACUCCUAUCAACCCCCAAUCCUUCUCACUGUGGGCAUCCUGUGGGGGUUAGAGUCAACUGGUAAAUUAUCCGCAUUUACAACUCUUCUCCUGUCCUGUUGUCACCACAGGAAAAGCUUUGUAAAGGAAAUUGGAUCAAGCUGUUUUGAUCUUCUUGGCUCACAACCUCAACAAGCUUAGAGAAGUGCUCAUGUAACUCAGUUCAUGUAAAUGUAGACAAAAGGCUUCUCUGUUUGCAUCCUUCUUGCAGAAGACACAAAGAAUAGGUGAUGUUGUACAAAUUCCAUGGUAAAUCUCCAACUAGGACUAAUCCAUUGCCCUUCAUACACAUAGGCAACUGGCCUGUUUCCAGUUUGUUUAGUUGUUCAAUGUCCUGCAACAAGUCAGAUACUUUGAGUCAGACUAUCAAGUCUGUCGUACCAGAGCAGUUCACCGUCCCAGCUACUGGUGAAUCAACCGUCCAUUCAGGUUCAGAAGUUGAAAAGUUGGCAGUGUUCCAACUUAUUCCCAUGAAAGAAAAACAAGGCAACAGUGUUCGAUCGAUUACUUGCGCAAGGGAGGCCUUUGGUCAAGAACCAGCUCUUGGAGCUCACGCUCCUAACCUGUCUCCAGCCCAAAGUCCUUCAAAGAGCAGCUUCCCUCGCAGCUAUUUAUUGACAAACUGUUACAGUUCACACAAUAGUUUACAACACGUACCUCCCUCUUAACCCCCUUGGUUACAAAGGCGAGUGUGUGUGUGUGUGUGUGUGUGUGUGUGUGUGUGUGUGUGUGUGUGAGAGACCUCCUGCUGGGCAGGAAGCUUACAUCAAACAGAUCUUUCAGAUAGGAUGUAUCUACAAUAAAACAUUACAGCCCCCUACCCAGAACCCCGAGAAUCUGGGGGGAAGGACAGUGGAAUCCCUAUCAUCAGAGUUAGCAAGCAUAAAAAUGACAAACAUUAACAAUUCACUCUAACACUGUCGCAGCCAUGUCCUGUCCGUUUGUACGCGAGCAACCCAUUGCGGAAGGUGCAAGACUGAUAAGGAGAGUAUUCAGAAUUCAGCGGAUAUUGCGGGAUAGACAGGAUCCUUUAGCUCAGCGCGACAGUGUGCUCAUAGAGAGAUAUCGAUUUUCCCGUGAGGGUAUUAUUGACUUAACACUCUCUAUCUAUCUCUAUCUCUCUCUCUCUAUAUAUAUAGAUAUCUAGAUCUAGAGAUCUAGAUCUCUCUCUCUCUCUCUCUCUCUCUCUCUCUCUAUAGAUAUAUAUAUAUAUAUAUAGAUAUAGAUAUAUAUAGAUAGAUAGAUAGAUAGAUCGAUCGAUCUAAAUCUCCCAACUUACUGUGCAUGCUUCAGUCACCCCUUGCAUGGGAACAGGUAAAAGUGAUGGAGUGUUAUGUAAAACUACACACAAAAAAACCCACAAUGUCAAUAAAUGUCACAGUACAAACAGCCGGG